UCUUCCAACAGUAAGGCUGCAGUAGCAUGUUCUUCCGAGAGUAAGACUUCAGGUGAGGUGCUCUUUUUGUUUUUCGUUUUUCUUGCAUGAAUCAGCGGUCAGUCACUACGUACAUAAUCACUGUUAAUGUUUUCAGUGGAUAGAACUAGUCUCCCCUCAGAGGGUCUAUCUGUCAACAGGCUCUGGUCCCAGAUCAACAAAGUCAUCUACUUGAACUGUGGCUAGACAUGUUGAAUUUGAUUUGUUAGUUAUUAACUUGUAUUAGUAUGCUGAAUUUGAUUUUAAAAGGUUGCUCGGAUCAGAUUUGGUCUGACGACUCUAACCAAAAGUUAAAGAACGUAAUUGACUCAUGACCUAAACCUUGGGAAAAAUAGGCUUCUGGUAUUUCUACUUUCAAUGGAAAUAUAGUUGUUUUCCUUUUGCUUUUUUCCCUGUUUGUCCAAAUACCCCUGAAUUGAAUAACUGAUACCUUUACCUGUUUACGUUUGAUGAUGUGGUUUAUCAGAUGAGAUACUUCAGUUACUUGAGGAAUGGAUGGAUAGGAUGGAAGAGGAAGUUCAGUCACUUCGGAGAAACUUAAACGCACUAUAUUUAGAACAACUUUGUUUUGAGAAAAGUGCAGAUGAAGUAAUCAGCACUUACGCUGAUAAGGUUCAGUUAAUGAAGUGGAUUCAUGGCCUUGUUUCCGUAUUUCUCCAAGUCAAUUAUCCCCACAUCGGGGCUGGGGUCCUAGUUGUGAUGGCAGUGUUGUUCUUCUUUGCAUUCAUAGAUGCUUAUAUGGUGACCCGUAACAAAAUUGAGAGGAUGUCUGAAUUUGAGAAGAAUCUUCAGAGGCGGCUGACGGAGUUACAAAGUGAGGUCAUGUAUUUUAGAGCUAAAAUUGAGGUGUCUUGUUUUGAUCGAGAACUUGAAAAGUUGGCUAUCAAGUAUCAAAGGAGCUCUUAGAGGAGUUUUGGACAGUAGUAUUGCUUCACUGAGAAAGGGUGAUGCCUUGCAGAAAGACAUAAGUAAAAUUCUUGAGUUAUCUAACUCGGAGAACAUUCGAUUGAACUCACUCUCACAGGUUGCAGUUGGUGCAGUUAUUUAUGGGAUAUGUUUUCCCACAAUUGCGUACUACUCUCUACGUAUUGUGGGCUUCAACAGGGCUGGACCCCUCAGCAUGAUGCAGCAGUACUAAAGAAAGAAUACUGCGAGAGACGGUUUGAUUCGUUGUGAGUGGUAUUUUCAACCUAUUACUGUUAUGGCCUAGAAAUUUUAUUUAUCUUAUUGAUUAUUUUGGCCGUUUAUUAAUUGGGAGUUUUAUGGUGUGGGUCCUAAUUAGCAAUUUUUUUCUAUGCAAUAUAGUUACUGUG